AGUGAAGCGGCAAAAGCUCAAAUUUGAAAUCUGGCUCUUUCAGAGUCCGAGUUGUAAUUUGAAGAAGGUAUCUUUGGGUCUGGCUCUUGUCUAUGUUUCUUGGAACAGAACGUCACAGAGGGUGAGAAUCCCGUGCGAUGAGAUGAUCCAGGCCUAUGUAAAGUUCCUUCGAAGAGUCGAGUUGUUUGGGAAUGCAGCUCUAAGUGGGUGGUAAAUUCCAUCUAAAGCUAAAUAUUGGCGAGAGACCGAUAGCGAACAAGUACAGUGAUGGAAAGAUGAAAAGAACUUUGAAAAGAGAGUGAAAAAGUACGUGAAAUUGUUGAAAGGGAAGGGCUUGAGAUCAGACUUGGUAUUUUGUAUGUUACUUCUUCGGGGGUGGCCUCUACAGUUUAUCGGGCCAGCAUCAGUUUGGGCGGUAGGAGAAUUGCGUUGGAAUGUGGCACGGCUUUGGUUGUGUGUUAUAGCCUUCGUCGAUACUGCCAGCCUAGACUGAGGACUGCGGUUUAUACCUAGGAUGUUGGCAUAAUGAUCUUAAGUCGCCCGUCUUGAAACACGGACCA
rnacentral:rRNA from 1 species